rnacentral:rRNA from 1 species
AUCUUUUAGAGCUUAUUAAAAGUGAGUUCUGCUCAAUGCAAAAGUAAAUAGCCGCAGUAUUUUGACUGUGCAAAGGUAGCAUAAUAAUUAGUCUUGUAAUUCAAGACCGGAAUGAAAGAGCCCACCAGAGGGGCUCUUUCUCAGUUAUCCCCAUCCAAUUUUACCUUUUAGUAAAAAGGCUAAAAUGAUCCUCAAAGACAAGAAGACCCUAUAAAACUUUACAUACAAAAGUCUAAUUAACUUGUAAAUAUGUUUAACUGGGGCGGUAGAAAAAAUAACAUUUUCAAAUAAUUAAAGAAAGUUCUAAAUACCCAAAAUUUUCGAAGAUCAAAUAAGCUACUUUAGGGAUAACAGCGUUAUAUGUUUAAAAAGCUCUUAUUGACAAACAUGUUUGCGACCUCGAUGUUGGAUUAAGUAAUCUCUACCCCGCAAGAGGGGUAAAAGAAGGUCUGUUCGACCUUUAAUCACUUCCA